rnacentral:rRNA from 1 species
UACGAAGGGGGCUAGCGUUGUUCGGAAUUACUGGGCGUAAAGGGCGCGUAGGCGGCUCGACGAGUUGGGCGUGAAAGGCCUGGGCUUAACCCGGGAACUGCGUUCGAUACUGUCGAGCUAGAGUGUGGGAGAGGAUGGCGGAAUUCCCAGUGUAGAGGUGAAAUUCGUAGAUAUUGGGAAGAACACCAGUGGCGAAGGCGGCCAUCUGGACCACAACUGACGCUGAGGCGCGAAAGCGUGGGGAGCAAACAGG